rnacentral:pre_miRNA from 12 species
GGAUCCUGUACUGAGCUGCCCCGAGGUUCUUUCUUGUGCCCAGCUCGGGGCAGCUCAGUACAGGAUGC